rnacentral:rRNA from 1 species
UACGUAGGGGGCAAGCGUUGUCCGGAAUCACUGGGCUUAAAGAGUCCGUAGGCGGCAUGUUAGGUGAGGUGUGAAAUCCCCCGGCUCAACCGAGGAACGGCGCCCAAAACUACCGUGCUCGAGGGAGAUAGAGGUGGAGCGGAACUUGAGGGUGGAGCGGUGAAAUGCGUUGAUAUCCUAAGGAACACCGGUGCGAAAGCGGCUCACUGGAUCUCGUUCUGACGCUGAUGCACGAAAGCUAGGGUAGCGAACGGG